rnacentral:misc_RNA from 1 species
UGGAUAUUGUAUUAUCAAUUUGUUUGCAGAGUGACAUACCAAAUGGGCAGGCGGGAAAGUUAGGGACUUCCCCUGCUCCUGCUACAAGUGACCUUUCUGGUUCGAGCAAGUCUCGUCCUGUCCCUAGUGGUUCAUCUUUCAAACAGUUGAGAGAUAGACAAUCUGGAAAAAGGAAGGACUUAGACAGGCAAGAGGAGGAUGACACUGCAACUGUCCAAAGCCAGCCACUACCAAGAGAUGCUUUCAGAAUAAGACAGAUUCAAAAAGCCCGUGUAGGUACAACUUCACAAACAGGAUCAGCAUCCUAUGGAAGUGCUCUUUCUGGAGAUCUCUCUGGUAGCACUGGCUGAUACUUGUUUCCUCCACACCCCCCCACCCCACCCCCUCAUUCUUUUGUAAAUUGGCUUAUGUAUUUAAUAUUAUUAUCCGGGC